rnacentral:misc_RNA from 1 species
GGAGCAGGAACUGGUUCAGCACAAUAGAUAGUGUUUUUGCCCAUUGACAGAAACAAGGGUUUGGCAGCCAGACAAGCAUCCUCAGAGCCACCAACCAUAAAAGUGAGAGUACCCGCUUCUGCAGCAAGAACACCUCCGGACACAGGAGCAUCCAACAUGACAGGUUUCUCCCAAAAACCUUUCUUUUCUUUUAAAAGGAAGUUGGAUACAGCUGCAGAAACCUUUCUUGAU